rnacentral:sRNA from 1 species
UGUUGGAAUUAUUCAGAAUAACAUAGCAAGUUAAAAUAAGGCUUUGUCCGUAACCAACUUUUAAAGUAGCGCUGUUCUCGGCGCUUUUUUC